AACGCACAUUGCACCCUCUGGUAUUCCGGAGGGUAUGCCUGUUUGAGUGUCAUUAAUAUCUCAACCCAGACAGGUUUCACAACCUGUUCUGUUGCUUGGAUGUUGAAGGCUUGCUGGCUUUUUUCAAGUCAGCUCCUUUUAAAUUCAUUAGCAGAAAUGAUAGGCAAAACUGGCUUCAGUUUGAUAAAAUACUUUAUCUGUACUGCUGUUGCUAGUGAAAGAUACCUAACAUAUUUCAGCUUCUAAUUGUCCCAUGUGGGACUGUCUUCUUGAAGGCAAUUAACCAAUUUGACACUUGACCUCAAAUCAGGUAGGACUACCCGCUGAACUUAA
rnacentral:misc_RNA from 2 species